UACGUAGGCAGCAAACGUUGUUCGGAAUUACUGGGCGUAAAGAGUGUGUAGGCGGUUCUGUAAGUUUGGUGUGAAAUCUCCCGGCUUAACUGGGGGGGUGCGCCGAAAACUGCAAGGCUUGAGUGCUGGAGAGGAUAGCGGAAUUCCUGGUGUAGCGGUGAAAUGCGUAGAUAUCAGGAGGAACACCGGCGGUGUAGACGGCUAUCUGGACAGCAACUGACGCUGAGACACGAAAGCGUGGGGAGCAAACAGG
rnacentral:rRNA from 1 species